rnacentral:lncRNA from 1 species
UUUUGUAAAGAAUCGAUGGUUGAAAAUUGGAUAUAAAAGAAUUAAGGGUUUUGCCUUACUUUUCAAAUAAUUUGAGCUCAAUCUAAUGGUUGAAUUGAGAAUUAUCAAAUUUUAAAGUUCAGUGCAUCAAAGGAAUUCGAUAUUGAAGGAAUUUUGGUAUUAUAAGGAUUUUACUACUACAAAAAGGGUUUUGGAAAUUACGAAAGAUUUAGAAAUUAUUGACUGAUUUUAUUAUUAUUAGAGAUCCAAUAAUUAUUAUUUAUUGCCACAACUUUUAC